GAUGCCAUUUACUGCAGUAAUUGGUAUGAAACAACUCCGAACAAUCGGAAAAUUUUGCUACAAUGCAUGAUGAGAGCUCAGGUACCAAUCGACACCAAGGCUGGAUUAAUGGAAGCUUCAUUGCCUAAUUUGAAAUCAAUUAUAAACUCAGCUGGAUCAUAUGUUACUUUACUUUUGUCAUUCACAUAAAACAAUUAAUCUGAUUCUACGCAAACCCUUAUGUCGCUUAAUGAAACUUCUUGCUUCGGCUUGAGGAUUAGAAACUUUAAUGCUCAUGUAAAAGUCGUUAAAAAAAAAGAAUCCGUAU